rnacentral:rRNA from 1 species
AUACGAAGGGUGCAAGCGUUACUCGGAAUUACUGGGCGUAAAGCGUGCGUAGGUGGUUCGUUAAGUCUGUCGUGAAAGCCCCGGGCUCAACCUGGGAAUGGCGACGGAUACUGGCGGGCUAGAGUGCGGUAGAGGAGAGUGGAAUUCCCGGUGUAGCAGUGAAAUGCGUAGAGAUCGGGAGGAACAUCAGUUGCGAAGGCGGCUCUCUGGACCGGCACUGACACUGAGGCACGAAAGCGUGGGGAGC